CUUUCAGCAACGGAUCUCUUGNCUCUCCCAUCGAUGAAGAACGCAGCGAAAUGCGAUAAGUAAUGUGAAUUGCAGAAUUCAGUGAAUCAUCGAAUCUUCUGAACGCACCUUGCGCCCUUUGGCUCAUUCCGAAGGGCAUGCUUGNUUGAGUGUCAUUAAAUUCUCAAAAACCUUUGGUUUGUUCUGAAGGCUUUUGGAUGUGAGGGCUUGCUGUCUUUCGNCUCUGCUCCCUUUAAAUGCAUUAGUGNAUUCCUUAGUGAACGGCACUUGGUGUGAUAAUCUAUCUACGCCGCUUGACUUGAAGCAAGCCUUAUGGGAGUUCGCUCAUAACCGUCUUUCGAGACAACUCUUUGACCAUUUGACCUCAAAUCAAGUAGGACUACCCGCUGAACUUAAGCAUA
rnacentral:rRNA from 1 species